GUGGAGGUCGUUAGCGAAAGCAGUUCAUCUAGGAGAGCAAACUCCGAUUACAAAACCGGGCAGGUGGAGGUCGUUAGCGUGAGCAGUUCACCUAGGAGAGCAAACUCCGAUUACAAACCCGGGCAGGUGAGGUUCGUUAGCCGUGGUAGGCAAUUCACCUAGGAGAGCAAACUCCGAACAAUAAACCCGGGCAGGUUGGGCUCGUGAGCCGUCAUAGGUAAUACACCUAGGAGAGCAAACUCCGAACAAUAAACCCGGGCAGGUUGGGCUCGUGAGCCGUCAUAGGUAAUACACCUAGGAGAGCAAACUCCGAUCAUAAAACCCGGGCAGGUGGAGCUCGUCAGCCGUGGUAGGCAGUCUGCCUAGGAGAGCAAACUCCGAACAAUAAACCCGGGCAGGUGGAGCUCGUCAGCCGUGGUAGGCAGUCUGCCUAGGAGAGCAAACUCCGAACAAUAAACCCGGGCAGGUGGAGCUCGUCAGCCGUGGUAGGCAGUCUGCCUAGGAGAGCAAACUCCGAACAAUAAACCGGGGCUUGUGGUGCUCGUUAGAUGUCGUAGACAAUCCACGUGAUGGGAACACCAAAGAAAAGGAAAAUAAAAAGGAACACCAGAAAAAGGAAAAUAUAGUAACAAAA